rnacentral:rRNA from 1 species
UACGAAGGGGGCUAGCGUUGCUCGGAAUCACUGGGCGUAAAGCGCACGUAGGCGGCUUUCUAAGUCAGGGGUGAAAUCCUGGAGCUCAACUCCAGAACUGCCUUUAAAACUGCAUCGCUUGAAUCCGGGAGAGGUGAGUGGAAUUCCGAGUGUAGAGGUGAAAUUCGUAGAUAUUCGGAAGAACACCAGUGGCGAAGGCGGCUCACUGGACCGGCAUUGACGCUGAGGUGCGAAAGCGUGGGGAGCAAACAGG